rnacentral:rRNA from 1 species
UACGUAGGGUGCAAGCGUUAAUCGGAAUUACUGGGCGUAAAGCGUGCGCAGGCGGUUUUGUAAGUCUGUCGUGAAAGCCCCGGGCUCAACCUGGGAAUUGCGAUGGAGACUGCAAGGCUUGAAUCUGGCAGAGGGGGGUAGAAUUCCACGUGUAGCAGUGAAAUGCGUAGAGAUGUGGAGGAACACCGAUGGCGAAGGCAGCCCCCUGGGUCAAGAUUGACGCUCAUGCACGAAAGCGUGAGGAGCAAACAGG